rnacentral:rRNA from 1 species
AACGAACGCUGGCGGCAGGCUUAACACAUGCAAGUCGAGCGCCCCGCAGGGGGAGCGGCAGACGGGUGAGUAACGCGUGGGAACGUACCCUUUGCUACGGAAUAGCUCCGGGAAACUGGAAUUAAUACCGGAUGUGCCCUACGGGGGAAAGAUUUAUCGGCAAAGGAUCGGCCCGAGUUGGAUGAGCUAGUUGGUGGGGUAAUGGCCUACCCAGGCGCCGAUCCAUGGCUGGUCUGAGAGGAUAAUCAGCCACAUUGGGACUGGGACACGGACCAGACUCCUACGGGAGGCAGCAUUGGGGAAUAUUGGACAAUGGGCGCAAGCCUGAUCCAGCCAUGCCGCGUGAGUGAUGAAGGCCUUAGGGUUGUAAAGCUCUUUCACCGGAGAAGAUAAUGACGGUAUCCGGAGAAGAAGCCCCGGCUAACUUCGUGCCAGCCGCCGCCGUAAAAC